CUCCAGCCUGGGUGACAGAGCAAGACUGUGUCUCAAAUGAAUAAAUAAAUAAACAUGGGAUAUAGUUUCAGAAGGAAAGUCUUUAUGUAAAGUAGUUAGGUAGUCAAGAAGUUCCAUUUCUGUGGCAAUUUUCUGUUAAUGUUGUGAGAUUUGAGGUGAAUAUCCCCUCUCACAGUACAAUGUUUCUUCCAGGUUUCUCAUUUGGUAUUUUUCACUUUUCUGCUGUGGUUUUUCGUUUCUUUGGUACCCUUCUUUCUAGUUUUCUUUAUGGAUUGAGUUGCUUGGCUACUCUGUUUAUGUUGGUUUGCCCAGUGAUUCCAUUCUAUUUACUGCUUCUCUGUAGGGCAUUUCCCUUUAUUUUUGGUUUCUCCUCUGGUAAUUAGAAAAUGUUUUUUUGUCGGGGACGGUUUAGUGUGUAGAGAUCUUACUAGACUAUUCCUUACAUCCAGAUCUUCCUCCUGAGAGAUAGCUGCUUAGGGUAUUAAAAUCUUCCUAAUGUGCUGUUUCCGAAGUUGCCCUUGUUUGAAUAGUUAAAUAUGACUAAUCAAAUCCUUUGGAAGAGUAUUUUUUGGGAUCCUAUUCUGCUUCAUUGAUACUUUUCCUUUUGGCUCUCCUUCUCCUUGAAGUGUAGCAUAGUUUCUUUGCUAUUGCAAGAAAAUAGCUAUGAGUUCUCGCCUCUUUGCCGAAUCUUAUCUUUCCAGAGAAUAUAAAGUACUCCCAUUCCUCUGAAGCUUUAGGACUUAAUCCAAUAAUUAAUAAAGUUUAUUUACUCUUAUUUGCUUGGUCCUAAUGAUUCAUUUGAGGUAAAAUUACCAUACUACUACAUCUUAAAAAGGUUGCUGAAAUCCCUACUGAUGCAUAGAUUCAGCCAUACAGAGGACUGUUGGACCACUUCUCUUGAGACAAAGAUGGCAGCCAUCAAUAGCUGGCAUUUUGACUUCCUGACUGUCUCCAGCUUCUCUUGCUAUGUGACCAGGAUGUUUUGAGAAGAAGUAAUCAAAAUAUCACAGUUAGGCCAGGCAAGAUGGCUCAUGCCUAUAAUCCUAGCACUUUGGGAGGCCGAGGGGGGUGGAUCACUUGAGGUCAGGAGUUUGAAACCAGCCUAACCAACAUGGUGAAACCCCGUCUCUACUAAAAAUAACAAAAAUUAGCCAGGUGUGGUGGCACACGCCUGUAAUCUCAGCUACUCGGGAGGCUGAGGAGGCUGGAGACUUGCUGGAACAGGAAGGCCAGUGAGCCGAGAUCCUGCCACUGCACUCUAGCCUGGGUGUCAGAGUGAGACUCUGU